UACGGGAGGCAGCAGUGGGAAUAUUGCACAAUGGGCGCAAGCCUGAUGCAGCAACGCCGCGUGAGGGACGAAGGCCUUCGGGUUGUAACCUCUUUUAGCAGGGAAGAAGCGAAAGUGACGGUACCUGCAGAAAAAGCACCGGCUAACUACGUGCCAGCAGCCGCGGUAAUACGUAGGGUGCAAGCGUUGUCCGGAAUUAUUGGGCGUAAAGAGCUCGUAGGCGGUUUGUCACGUCUGCUGUGAAAACCCGAGGCUCAACCUCGGGCUUGCAGUGGGUACGGGCAGACUAGAGUGCGGUAGGGGAGAUUGGAAUUCCUGGUGUAGCGGUGGAAUGCGCAGAUAUCAGGAGGAACACCGAUGGCGAAGGCAGAUCUCUGGGCCGUAACUGACGCUGAGGAGCGAAAGCAUGGGGAGCAAACAGGCUUAGAUACCCUGGUAGUCCAUGCCGUAAACGUUGGGAACUAGAUGUGGGGACCAUUCCACGGUCUCCGUGUCGUAGCUAACGCAUUAAGUUCCCCGCCUGGGGAGUACGGCCGCAAGGCUAAAACUCAAAGGAAUUGACGAGGGCCCGCACAAGCGGCGGAGCAUGCGGAUUAAUUCGAUGCAACGCGAAGAACCUUACCAAGGCUUGACAUAUACGAGAACGCGCUGGAGACAGCGAACUCUUUGGACACUCGUAUACAGGUGGUGCAUGGUUGUCGUCAGCUCGUGUCGUGAGAUGUUGGGUUAAGUCCCGCAACGAGCGCAACCCUCGUCCUAUGUUGCCAGCACGUAAUGGUGGGAACUCAUGGGAUACUGCCGGGGUCAACUCGGAGGAAGGUGGGGAUGAGGUCAAAUCAUCAUGCCCCUUAUGUCUUGGGCUUCACGCAUGCUACAAUGGCCGGUACAAUGGGCUGCAAUACCGUAAGGUGGAGCGAAUCCCAAAAAGCCGUCUCAGUUCGGAUUGAGUCUGCAACUCGACCUCAUGAAGUCGGAGUCGCUAGUAAUCGUAGAUCAGCACG
rnacentral:rRNA from 1 species